CUCCCACUGCUAGCUUUGAUCCUUCUCCAAAAUUAAGAACAAAUCCAUAGUUCUACUCAAGAACUUAAGGAUAUUUUCACAGCAAUCUAGCGCUCUCAGCUUGGAUACAAUUGAUAUCUAUUCGUGACACUCACAACAUUAUCUAUAUCAGUUUAGGUACAUUACAUGGCAUACAUCUAUAUCCGAGAGGAUAGCAGACU
rnacentral:lncRNA from 1 species